rnacentral:lncRNA from 1 species
UUCAAGUCAAUUCGUCGACCAUUUUUGUUCUGUUGUUUUGAUGAUGACUGCUUCUGUGCAGAAGAUUUUCUAGUUGUUACCAGGUUCCAAUUCCCUCCCUUUUGUUUUGAUCCCGUCCUUUAUCAACAGACUUAGGCUUAGGUUCUCUAGCUUCUCCAGUUCGAUCAACAUUCUCCUUUAAGUUCGCUGCAGAUGCGUCAAAUGCAUUAUUAGGAGACUGCUUUUUUUUUUUCUCCAGGUAAAUCAACCUCAAAUUCAUUCCCAGCAUGUGCACUAGAAUUGUUUCUAAUUGCAGCAGUUUGCAAUACUCCAGCAGUAGCCAAAUACAUUCUUGCAAAAAUGGUAGAGGCAGGUACAUCUCUAGAAGGCU